rnacentral:lncRNA from 10 species
GUACUGGGACGAUUCCGCGGAGCCGGGCAGAGGUUUUAGGGGCGUCCGAAGAAAUCGUUGUUGGAAGGUGACCAAGGUGGAAAGAGACGUUGCUUUGGCCCUGCAAGUAAGAAGAGAGAGGGAAUAGCCUGAAGGAGUAACACUAAAUUUAAAAUGACACUUUUUUACCAACCAGCGAAAGCAGAUGUUCAAAGGGGAUAUUGGCCAGGUGCGGUCGCUCACGCCUUUAAUCCCAGCACUUUGGGGGCAGACGCGGGGAGAUAGCGUGAUUCUAGGAGUUCAACCCCAGCCUGGGCAACAUGCGGAGACCCCGUACCGUCUCUACAAAAACAUUAAACAAAAAAAUUAGCUGGGCAUGGUGGUGUACCCCUGUAGUUGCAGCUACACUAGAGGCUGAGGUGGGAGGAUCGCUUGAGCCCGGGAUGUUGAGGCUGCAGUGAGCCUCGAUCCUACCACUGUGCUCCAGCCUGGGCGACAGCAAGCCCGUGUCUCAGAAAAGGCGGGAGGGGUGGGAUAUUAUUGAUGAUAGGCCUUCUGACGUCUGGCAAUAGAUUCCAGAGUAACAUCGGUCAUGGAUAAAUUUUUUUUUUAACUAAGUGACUGAAACCAAAGUUAAUUGUCUUUUGAGUGAUUUUGCACAGUAUCUCAAAAUGAACUGUACUUUUUUUCUUGUGUCACUGAAACAGUGCUGUGUGUUCUUUUUCAGAGUCUGUCACACUAAGAUGAGAAAUGUCCUUUCUUCCUGAAGGUGUCUGAUGUGUAAAAAUAUGAUAUACUUUGUGCUGUUUCCUCCCUUCCCUUUUGCAUAUUAUUCUGAAACAACAUUAACUAGUUACUUUGCGUCAUUGAAGGUAUGCACUUCCCCUCUAUGUUAGGAGUGAAUAAAAUUAAAAAUAGAUCCUUAUAACAAAGAAAGGCAGAUAGAAUGAUUAAAAAUGACCAAAACAUGUUAGAAACAGUCUCUCAGGUGUAUGCAGAUGGUAAUUACAAAAAUACUUUUUCAAAAAAUGAUCUUCUGUGUCAUGUUUCUGGGAACAAGUCAAGAUGAAUGAGUUUGAUUUUUAAGCAGAAGUAGUAUGUGUUGGUGUCAUCCAUGAAUACAACAAUGAAAAAGGCUCAAAGUUGUUGUUAUUCAGAAACUUCUCUAAGUAAUGGUGGUAAGUACAGGAAAAGGAGCAAUGUCUACCAUUUUCUUUCUAACCUUCGAUUUAACUAUUGUAAUGUUGUAAGCUUAACAGAGACUUACACUUAGGCUUAAUUUCAAGCUCUUCAAUCAUUUUUCCCGGUUGGUGAUUCAGGUGUAUUCUCAUGUCUUAUGUAAACUUAUCAUGAGUGUUGUUGAUUUAUAAUAUAUUUCUUUAUGUAAGCCAUAGCCUUGUCAGUUUGAGUUAUAUGGAAGACAAAUUGUAGGGAAAAAGAGCAACAGAUUACUCAGAAACCUUCUGUGUGAGCUGGGCAUAGUAGUGCAUGCCAGUAGGCUUAGCUACUUGGGAGGCUGAGGCAGGAGGAUCACUUGAUCCCAUUAGUUUGAGGCUGCAGUGAGCUAUGAUUGUGUCACUGUACUCCAAUCUGGACAACAGUGAGACUAUGUCUGUUUUUAAAAAAGAAAGAAAGCUUGUGUUUGAGAAGUGAUACCUCUAGAAUACAGUGAUUUCUAUAAUUUGUCAUGUGUUUGGGUAGUUUGAAGUUUUUCUAUCCUUGUAUCUAAUGGACAUCUGACCAUAAAGAUGAAAAAAUCCUGCACUCAUUAUAAAUUUUAUUUAUAAAAUUGAUAUUUGAGGAGUUGGGGAGGCCAGCUUCUGAAAAAAUAACAGUGUCCCAUAGAAACACCACAACUUAGGAAAAUAUUGUUAAAGUGGAAUUAGGAAUAUCUAGAGGAGGUAAAGCUUUUCAUCUCUCAAAAAAGAAUUAGGGCCAGGCACAGUGGCUGACACCUGUAAUCCUAGCACUUUGGGAGGCCGAGAUGGGCACAUCACUUGGGGCCAGGAGUUCAAGACCAGCCUGGCCAACAUGGCGAAACCCCAUCUCCAAGAAAUAGAAAAGUUAGCCAGGUGUGGUGGCGUGCGCCUGUAAUACCAGCUACUAGGGUGGCUGAGGCAGGAGAAUCGCUUGAACUGGGGAGGUGGAGGUGGCAGUGAGCAGAGAUUGAGCCACUGUACUCCAGCCUGGGCAACAGCAAGACCCUAUCUCAAAAAAAUAAUAAAGAGAAUUAGGACAUGGAUUUGUAUUAAAAUUAUAGGUAGCUCAUUUAAGAGUAUGAAGCCAAUUGCUGUUAGAGCAAGGGUUUUUUUCAGUAGAGGUGUCAGGAUAACCUAUACAGCUCUAAAAGUAUAUGGCUGUUACCUUCCCAUCCCUGUUGAAAUCUCCAGGGUUAGAACCAAGUAUUGUGUUUUUAAAACUAUAGGUGAGUCUACAAGAGUUGGGUGGAGUAGUCCUCUACAUCCUGUGUUUGUAUUUUUGCAGUAAGUCACACAAUAACAAAAGCUUUGAGAAAGAUUUUAGGUUUAUUGCUAAUUAUACCCAUGAAUGAAUUCUGAAAAUGUGUAGAUAAGGAAUUUACCUGGUGAACGGUUUACACAUGGCAAUUGUGGGAGGGAGAGGGGAGUGAGAGGAGAUGAGAUCAGUUUUAGCUUUAAGAGGACCAACCGGGCCAAGCACGGUGGCUCACGCCUGUAAUCCCAGCACUUUGGGGCCGAGGUGGGUGGAUCACGAGGUCAGCAGUUCAAGACCAGCCUGACCAACAUGGUGAAACCCCGUCUCUACUAAACAUACAAAAAAUUAACUGAGUGUGGUGGCGGGUGCCUGUAAUCCCAGCGACUUGGGAGGCUGAGGCAGGAGAAUCGCUUGAAACUGGAAGGCGGAGGUUGCAGUGAUCCGAGAUUGUGCUAAUGCACUCUAGCCCGGGCAAUAACAGCAAAACUCCCGUUUAAAAAAAAAAAAAAAAAAGGGACCAACCAUGAUAUCCUGACUAACCUGUAUAUUUCUUAGAAUGAGGGUUUAGCCUAAUAUUAAGAAAGUCUAAUGUUAAGAGACACCUAGUAAGAGCUCAACGCUGUGGUAAAAUUAUGAUAGUUAUGCAGAAACUUAAAAGCUGAAGUAUCCAGAGACAAUAUAUUGUUUAGAAUUUUCUGAAAAUAAAAAUUUUCUUGCCCUAAGUCUUGAAUUUUUAAGUUAUUGAUGUUAAUAUUUAUGAUCUUUGAACAAAUGAUAUUAUAAUAGAGUAUCUUUUAGGUCACAGAGACCCCUUUUUAGAGCUGAGAAAUCUUACAAAUUCCUCAGCCCAUGUUUUACAGAUAAGGAAAUGGGCAUGCACACAGUGAAAUUAAAAAUUGCUAGUGGUCACACUGUACAUUGAUGGCAAAGGCAGGGCAGAAUUAGAAUCCAAUUAUCUUACCUGUUCAGUGUCUUUAAUGAUACAGCAAGCUCACCACUGUUUCUCUUUACUCUUUAAACAGUGGAUUUUUUUUGUCAUGAUUUUGAUUUCUUGUAUAAUGCAGUUCAAUACUUGUUUAAUUUUAAUGUUGGACUCUCAAUUUUUAAGACAGUAGUACACAUGAAAUGUGCUUUAUAUUUUAUGUUUCAACAAGAAAAUACACAUUUUCCUUUUAAUAGAGGAGCUUAAGUUCCUAAUUUAAAUAAUUGAGUAUGAGCUUCAGAUACUUCAGAGUGGUAUUAAUAAACUUUGCUUUUCCAAAUGGUUUCAGAUAAGCAUUUAAUAUUCAAAGCUUCCUCUUUACAGCUUAGGAAGUGGUCUGGUUAAGUGACUUGAGUUCAUACAGGAAUAUAUCGGUAUGUUCCUAAUUCCCAUCAAGUGUACCAUUAUGUAAUCAUAUAAUCUUGCUAACAGAUCUAACAGAUUACUUUUUUUUUUUUUUUUUUUUUGAGACAGAGCCUUGCUCUGUCGCCCAGGCUGGAGUGCAGUGGCGCGAUCUCUACUCACUGUAACCUCCGCCUCCCAGGUUCAAGCAAUUCUUCUGCCUCGGCCUCCCAAGUAGCUGGGACUACAGGCAGGCACUACCACACCCGGCUAAUUUUUGUAUGUUUAGUAGAGACGGGGUUUCACCAUGUUGGCCAGGCUGGUCUGGAACUCUUGACCUCAAGUGAUCCGUCUGCCUCUGCCUCCCAAAGUGCUGGGAUUAUAGGAGUGAGCCACUAUGCCUGUCCUCUAGGGAAAAUCUUUAAUUCAUUCUGGACAAUGAGAAAACUUUUAUUUUUACUUUUAGUUAACAAUACUCAGGAAAAUAAAAAGUGUGCUUUUUAAUCUUAGUAACCCAAUUUGAGUUUGAAACAAAUUUACAUAAUUUUAGCUGCUUAAUAUGCUGCUGAAGAUAAAUGCAGUAAAUAUCCCAAGGUCAAGAUUUGAAAUCCAAAUGUCCAUAGUAAUGAUUAACAGGAAAAGAGAGUCCUCUGUUAACUUUAUUUCUCAAUUUUUUACAGGUUUGGAUAAUUAAGGGAGCACUAGAAAACUUUUUUUUUUUUUUUUGAGAUGGAGUCUGUUGCCCAGGCUGGAGUACAGUGGUACGGUCUCGACUCACUGCAAUCUCCGCUCCUGGGUUCAAGUGAUUUCUCUUGCCUCAGUCUCCUGACUAGCUGGGAUUUACAGGCGCAUGCCACCAUGCCCAGCUAAUUUUUGUAUUUUUAUUAGAGACGGGUUUCAUCAUGUUGGUCAGGCUGGUCUCAAACUCCUGACCUCGUGAUCCACCCGCCUCGGCCUCCCAAAGUGCUGGGAUUACAGGUGUGAGCCACCGUGCCCAGCCGAAAAUGUUUCUUUGCAAGGAUAAAUAUAUGAAGAUAAACUUGCCGAGCGUAAAUAUGUUCAUGAAUAUAGCCACUUAAGGAAAUUCAAACAUGCAGAGAUGUUCAGCUGUAUGCAGUUAUGUAUUCAUGAAGUAUUCAUGUAUUCAUGAAGCCUUAUUUGAUGUAGAAUCUGAGGGUGCUGCCUAUACAUAAACUUGCUUAAAGGUUAAAACUUAAGGAAUGUUCAUCAAAGUCACUUUCUUACACCUAACUCCUGAUUUCAUGAAUAUAACACAUAGGUGCUUAUCAAACUGAAUACCUUGGAGAUGAGCUGCUCCAGCACCAGAAGAUAAAAUUCAGUAACUGUAAUCCUUGAGGUACCUAAGUGAUACAUUUUUUUUAAGACUGAGCCAAAAUAAAACAGCUUUCCUCCUUCCCUACCCUCUCCGACCAAACUUUUAGCCAUUUUAUUUAUUUAUUUAUUUGAGAUGGGGUCUAGCCAUGUGGAGUGCAGUGGCUAUUCACAAGCAUGAUCAUAGCAAAUGACAGCCACAGACUCCUGGGUUCGAGCAAUCCUGCCUCAGCCACUCAAGUAACUAGGACUACAGGCGUAUACUGGGGCUUCUAGCCAUUUAUAUGGUAUUAAGUGACAGCUUCUAUAGUUACUUGGUACUUGUCCCUGUAAAACUGCACAGUGUGUAUUCUCUUGGCUCAAUUAUUAGCAUAUUCUGCCAUUUCCUUGUGAAUGUUUUGUAUUUUAUAUAGGAAAACUUAAGUUUUUAAAUAUCCUGAAAUAACUGAAGAAUUUUGUUUUUGCCUUUAAGUGGUAAUGUAUAAAGUAUACUAUUGCAGAGAUACUUACAGAGUGCUUUCAUUGCAAUUAAAAUACUGCAGCUAACUAGCAUGUUCCAUAUGUGUAAUCUAAAUGACAUACUGGUCAUGUGCUAUUUCUAUGGAAUACUAACAGUAGUAUGGUACAUUUAUGCAGUCUCAACAGUUUAAAGUGUUAUUUUGGUGAUAAACUGUUUACAUUUAUUUGUUUUUAUAUUUGGCAGUCUAAAUGCAAGAGUCUCCAUUUCAGCUCUUUACUCUGCAUAUCUUUAAUGUUGGGCAUUAUGCCUCUUUCUUGAGUUUCAGUCCUAUGACUGUUCCAUUUUCAGUAUUCAUGUUUAUGUGUCUUUCUAAAAUUGUUUUGCUUCUGUUUCUUGCUGCUCUUGAGACAAUUUAUGGGCAAAUUUUGUUACUUUUCAACUGGCCGUGUAUUUCCCUGUGAAGAGUUGCUGGAUUGUCUCAUUUUCCAGAUAAACUGAAUUAAUGUAGUAGUGAGGAGAAGCCAGAUUUCAGAGGUUUGACAAGUGAACAAAUGGGAAUGAGAAAAGAAGUAGGUACUUAAACUUUUAAGAAGUUUGGCUCUGAAAAAGGCAAGAAAUAAUGGGUUAGAGAGGGCAGGAUUGUAAGGAUUUAAGAUAGGAGAAGAGGCAUAAGCAUAUUUAAAUUUCCCUACUUAAGGGCCAAAAUCAUACUGUACCUCAGUCUGAACUUUUUAAAGGAAUUCAAGGACACAAAAUUCUGCCCUGCCCUGAAAUCCAGUCAGGAGGAAGGGAGAAGAGCUCUGAAGUACUUUUGUAAUUUUCUUCUACAUAAUAAUUGAUUUUUGUUUGAUUAUUUUUCUUUCCUAUAGCUCCUGUUUGCCAGGUUUUUCAUAGCUGCCUAUUUAACCAAACUUGUACUCCCAAGAAUAGUGCAUAUUUAUGAUUCUUAAUUCCAAAAACACAUGGCAAUGAUAAUGUCUCUGCUUCUUUUGAGAAAUUAACUUGGUUCUGAAAGAUGGUGUUUGCUUUUCACACCUGUAUCAUUAAUACUUCCUUGCCAAACCUAACUAGGAUCCUCACCACCACUGUUAGAGAAAACUGAUGCUCAGUUGAACCAGAAUGUUAAAUGUGAACAGGAUUUGUCUGUGUUGUUGCCCAGCUAUGUUUAUCCAUACACAUUACCUGGAGGAAGAGAAAUCUGAGAUAAUUGAGUUGAUUAGAUUACUUACAUGAAGAUGGUUUAAUUGUAUCAAUACAGAAAAAUGCACAAGGAAAGAAACUGACACCUUAAGGCAACAAAGCCCUCCAUAAAAAGUAACCGAAUUUUGAGAGUUACGAACUAAUGUCCAUUACCUGAAGUCCUUCUCAUUCCAUUACCCAGUAACAUAAAUCAAAUUCAGUAAAUAAGCUGCUUUAUGUCUUGAGAAAUUUAACUGGCAGAAUAAAUGGAAAGAAGUCAGUAAAAAGGGAGCAGUUGAACAAGCAUGGUGUCUCACACCAAUAACCCCAGCACUUUGGGAGGCCGAGGCAGGUGAAUCACUUGAGGUCAGAAGUUCAAGACCAACCUGGCCAACAUGGUGAAAACCCAUCUCUACUAAAAAUGCAAAAAUUAGCUGGGCUUGGUGGCAGGUGCUUGUAAUCCCAGCUACUCAGGAGGCUGAGGCAGGAGAGUCACUUAAAACCCAGGAGGCAGAGGCAGUGAGCUGAGAUCGUGCCACUGUACCCCAUCCUGGGCAACAGGACGAGGCUCCAUCUCAGGGAAAAAAAAAAAGAAAAAGCUGAGCAUGGCGGCAUGUGCCUGUAGUCUUAGCUACUCAGGAGGCUGAGGCAGGAGGAUCACUUGAGCCCAGGAGUCGUAGGUUGCAGUGGUGCCAUUGUGUUCCAGCCUGGGUAAGAGUAAGGCCCUGUUUCAGUAAAAAGAAGGGAGUAACCAAGACAGGUAGGGAUUCAGUAUAAUAAAAGUCAAAAGUAGUUGUUUAUUACUAGAGCCUGGCACUGUAACCUGGUAUGUCCAAAUGUGAUUUAAUUUGCUCUCAAGAUGUGCACCAGAAGAAAUAACCCGAGGCAUUUCAAAGAAAAAACAAAAUGUGACCUGCUAGUUCUGUUACUCUGCCACAAGUUAACACAUUUUGAACUUAAGUGCAGAGUCCCAUACAUCCAGUGUGACUCCCCAAAUCUCAAAAAUUUAGGCUAAAACCUAAUUUUGUGUCCAAGCCAGUGCCUGCUUGUUCCUGCUGAAUUUAAAACUUUGGGUCCAGCAAUCUUCUAUCGCUGGAGGGAGGGAGAGGUAUGAAAAUAAUGUUUAAUGGUAAUUGUUUAUUGUCAUGGGCCCAUAUUAUACCCAGAUUUAGAGAGCUAUUUGACACACCUGUAACCUAAUGUUUAUUUUAACUUAAUAUCUGCUCAGUCAGGUAAGAGAUGCAACUUCACAGAGGUCCAUUUAACGUGCCUAAACCUAAGUAGAAACACAAAAGCUAUGUAUAGUCCCUUGUUUGAGAUAACACUAAAUUUUUAGAGAAUAGCUUGGUACUGUGGUAGACAGAGUUCACUUAAAAUGCAUUUAACAAUUUACAGAUAACUGGAAAGUAAUUCAUUCAUCUUAGAACCCUGGUAGGGACAUUCUAUUAAAAUAUUUGUGUACUAGUUAAAGUCAAAAUAGAAAUACAGCCUAUCACACGGUAUUUAUACUAUGCAUUAUGAUUAAUAAAGCCACCUAAGGUCGUUACUCCAUGAUCAUGGGAAGUUGUUAGUCAUUAAGAGUUCGGGUUUAGCAACAAAAAUCUUGCGUUUGAAUCUAAACACAUUACAUGAUUUUAAGCAUGUUCAUCAUUCUGAGAUUAAAUAAAAAUUAAGGAAAUAUAUGAAAAAUGCUUAAUAAGUACCCAAAAGGUAAUAUGGUGUAGCAACUUAGAAUGUAGACUUCAGAGCCAGUCAGCUAGGAUUAAAAUGACACUUCGGCCAAUCACUGUUGACUAUAAGCAAGUUAUUUAACUCUGCCUCAGUUUUGUCUGUGAAGUAGGGAUAAAAUCUUCCUCGCUAGGUUGCUAUAAGAAUUAAAUGGAUAUAUUAAGUACUAUCAUGUGAGAUCACUUUAUUUGAGGCUAAAAAAAUUUUUUUUAACUAGGAUUCACUGAAAAUACAUCUAUAAAAAAGCCACUCUUUAUCAUGAGAAGUAUGAUUUUCUGUACCUUAGGUGUUAUAAAGCAAUAUCCCCUCAGUUUUAACUUUACCAAAAUACCUGUCUUAGUAAAUGAUACUAUAUAUACCAAAUAUUGCAUAUGUGUAUAUAAACUUCAACUGUCUACUUCUAUCACUGACAGUUUAAAAAUUGAGAUAAAGUAAGUAUUAUCUGAGUAAUAUAACCAUUUUCUAUUUAUUUAUUUAUUUAGAAACAGUCUCACUCUGUCACCCAGGCUGGAGUGCAAUGGCUCGGUCUCAGCUCACUGCAACCUCCGCCUCCUGGAUUCAGGCAGUUCCCCCACCCCACCCUCCCGAGUAGCAGAGACGGGGUUUCACUGUGUUGGCCAGGCUGGUCUCGAACUCCUGACCUUGUGGUCUGCCCGCCUCGGCCCCCCAAAGUGCUGGGAUUACAGGCGUGAGCCACCGCACCCAGCCAAUCUAACCAUUUUCAAGAUUUGAUCUGCAAAUACCUGAAGUAAGUACAAGCACUGUGGCCCAGUUAAAGAGUGUUAGAACUGUAAGAAGUCCAAAGGCAUAGCUAAGAAUUGCUUUAGAGUCAGUUGUGGGUUCUGAAUUCUUGCUCUGAUAGUUAGCAACUAUGUCUACUUUGGCAAAUUUAGGUUUUGAAGCCUUCCAUAUCUUUAAAAGGAGGUAACAUUUAACAGAGCACCAAAUACAAGGUUUUCUGUAAUAUUAGUUCCAUAGCAUGGUCUGCAAACUUCCAACAUCAGAAUCUCCUGGGAUAUAUGCUAAAUGCAGAUUCUGGUUUCCCAACCAGAAUAUACUGCUUAAAAAUCUGAGGGUUAGUUCUAGGAAUCUGCAUUUUUUUCUAUACAAUGUAUGUAUUAGGGUUCCCUGGAGGGACAGAACUAAUAGGAGAUACAUAUAUAUACACACAUAUAUUUAUUAAGUUUAUUGAGAACUUACACGAUCACAAGGUCCCACAGUAGGCUGGCUGCAAGCUUGAGGAAAAGAGAGAGCCAGAGUCUGAGUCUGAAAACUGAAGAACUUGGGGGUCCAGUGUCUGAGGGCAGGAAGCAUCCAGCGUGGGAGAAGGAUGGAAGCUGGGAGGCUAGGCCAGUCUCUCCUCUUCACGUUUUUCUGCGUGCUUAUAUUCUACCUAUGCUGGUAGCUGAUUAGACUGUGCCCACCAGAUUGAGAGUGGGUGGGCCUUCCCCAGCCCACUAACUCAAAUGUUAAUCUCAUUUGGCAACACCCUUACAGACAAACCCAGGAUCAGUAUUUUGCAUCCUUCAAUCAAGUUGACACUUAGUAUUAACCAUCACAAUGUAUGAUUUUUAAAAUCUGCAUUUUUAAUAAGCUACUAGUUUAUUUUUCCACCUAAUCCAAUUCCUAAUUUUAUUUGAAAGCACCAAGGUAAAUAGUUCCUAAAUCACUGUUAUUUAAAUUGUGCUCCAGUACCCCUUAUUCUUGCUGCAAUUCCAAGACAGAGAUAACAAAAAUUUUUUUUUCAAUGUUUUGUUUUUUUGAGACAGAGUCUCGCUGUGUCCCCCAGGCUGGAGUGCAGUGGCUCGAUCUCGGCUCACUGCAAGCUCCGCCUCCCGGGUUCACGCCGUUCUCCUGCCUCAGCCUCCUGAGUAGCUGGGAUUACAGGCAUGUGCCACCACACCCUGCUAAUUUUUUGUAUUUUUUUUUUUAGUAGAGACGGGGUGCAUGCUGCAUGCUCCGCCUCCCGGGCUCUCGCCAUUCUCCUGCCUCAGCCUCCGGAGUAGCUGGGACUACAGGCGCCUGCCACCACGCCCGGCUAAUUUUUUGUAUUUUUACUGGAGACGGGUUUUCACUGUGUUAGACGGGAUAGUAUUGAUCUCCUGACCUCGUGAGCCACCGCGCCCGGCCUGCCAAAAUUUUUAAUGUUUGCAUGUACAUAGUUACUCAACAAAGAGGCCAGGUGUGGUGGCUCACGCCUAUAAUGCCAACACUUUGGGAGGGUUGCCUGAGCCCAGGAGUUCGAGACCAGCCUGGGCAACAUUGUAAGAGCCUGUCUCUUAAAAAUAUAUAUUUUGGGGAGCCAGGUGUGGCACCUCACGCCUGUAAUCCCAACACUGGGAGGCUGAGGUGAGUGGAUUGCUUGAGCUCAGGAGUUCGAGAUCAGCCUGGGCAACAUGGCGAAACCCUGUCUCUACCAAAAAAAAAAAAAAAAAAAAAAGUAGAGGCAUCGUGGUGUGUGCCUGUGGUCCUGGCUACUGGGAAGUCUGAAGUGGGAGGAUCGCUUGAGCCUAGGAGGUGGAGGUUGGAGUACGCCAAGAUCACACCACUGCAUUCCAGCCUUGGUGUCAGAGUUAGACCCUGUCUCAAAAAAUAUAUUUUAAAAUGAUAUUAAGUAAAGAAUAUAGUCCAGCCACAUGAGCAAGUAUUGCUUAUCUAGAAAGACGUAUAAUAAAGUUCUUUUGGGGAGAUAAACUAUGAUCCAUUCUAUGUUUCAUGUAAAUCAGGGGCAGCCAAUCUUCUGGCUUCCUUGGGCCACAUUGGAAGAAUUAUCUUGGGCCACACAUAAAAUACACUAACACUAAUGAUAGCUGAUGAGUUUUUAAAAAGAAUCACAAAAGCAAUGUUUUAGCAAAGUUUAUGAAUUUGUGUUGGGCUGCAUUCAAAGCUGUCCUGGGCCGCAAGGUGGAAAAAACUUGAUCUAAAGUAUUUGAUUUUUUUAGAAAAGUUUUUGAAUGGCCAGGUGUGGUGGCUCACACCUGUAAUCCCAGCACUUUGGGAGGCCGAGGCAGGCGGAUCACGAGAUCAGGAGAUCGAGACCAUCCUGGCCAACAUGCUGAAACUCCAUCUCUACUAAAAUACAAAAACUUAGCCAGGCAUGCUGGCAUGCGCUUGUAGUCCCAGCUACUCGGGAGGCUGAGGCAGGGGAAUCACUUGAACCCAGGAGGCGGAGGUUGCAGUACAGUGAGCCAAGAUCGCGCCACUGUACUCCAGCCUGGUGACAGAGCAAGACUGUCUCAAAAAAAAAAAAAAGGAAGCUUUUGAAUAAGAAGCAACUCUACAGUACUCUAUUGUAGACAACCAAAGUAUUAAUAUUUGGGGGGCACAAUUUCAACCAACUUUAAAUUAUUUCAUUCUGGAAGUAUGUGUUGAGUAAAUAUGAAGUAUAAGGCCCCUAGAGGUACAGAUGGCUAUGGCCGUCUAAACCAUUUUACUCUUAACUUUUAGUGUCAUGGACCUCUUUGUCAAUCUAGUGAAGUCUAUGGACCGCUUUUUUUUAAAAAAGCCUUUAAACAUAUAAAGUACAGUACAUUGAAUUACAAAAGGAUCCAAGAAUAUUGAAAUAGUUACCAAAAAAAUUUGAUAUAGAAAUAUAUGUGGUUUAUUAAUGAAUAAGAUCUAGCAGUGGCCUUACUAUAAUUUCAACACAGUAGCGUGGUGAGCAUAAAUAUUUCAACUUAUCUGCAACAAUUGUAAUGUGAUAUGGAAAUAAUCAGUUUAAUUGUGACAGUCACAUUUACUGCUAACUACUGUGAUUGACUGGCUAUGUUUACAUUUUAUUAGAAGUUAUUGAAAGUAGAUGCCAGGCAUGGUGGCUCAUGCCUGUAAUCCUAGCACUUUGGGAGGCCAAAGUGGGCAGAUCAUUUGAGCCCACGAGUUCGAGACCAGCCUGGCCAACAUGAUGAAGCCCUGUCUCUACUAAAAAUAAAAAAAAAAAUUAGCCUGGCAUGGUGGCCUGCUGUAGUCCCAGCUACUCACAAGGCUGAGGCAGAAGAAUCACUUGAACCAGGGAGGCAAAGAUUGCUGUGAGCUGAGAUCACGCCACUGCACUCCAGCCUGGGCAACAGAGCCCGACCCUGUCUCAAAAUAAAAGAGAGAUGUAAUGGACCCCUUUAAUUAAUCUAUAAACUCCUAAUUAAGAACCCUGGUUAAAAUUUUUUAAUAGGAGCUUGUCUUCUUCACUGUUGUAUCCAAAGCCUGACUGAAAUCUGUAGACACCUAAGCAGUGAAAAAUUUGAUGCCUUAACCUAUAUAAUUUAAAAUCAAAAUAUUUACACUAUAAGGUGAAUUUAAGGAAGAUCUCAUUUUUCUCAUGGUGAAGACUAAGAUACUUUUUCAAAAUUACUAAAUUUUCAUUUGUUUCAUCAGGGAUGAGGUUGGGGGAGGAUCUAGCUCCUUUAUUAAUACCUGAAUAUAUAGGUUUUAAUAUCCAAGCUUGACUAUAUCCACUACACUUGGUACACAACAGAACAAAUGAAUGAACAUUUUCAUGCCUGUAAUCCUAGCACUUUGAGAAGCCAAGGCAGGAGGAUUGCUUAAGCCCAGGAGCUUGUGACCAGCUUGGACAACAUAGGGAGACCUUAUCUCGACAAUAAAUUUAAAAAUUAGCUGGUUGUGGUGGCACGUGCUGGUAGUCCUAGCUACUGGGGAGGCUAAGGUGAGAGGAUCGCUUGAGCCCAAGAGGUUGAGGCUGCAGUGAGCCAUGAUCAUGCCACUGCACUCCAACUUGGGCUACAGAGCAAGACCUUGUCUCUCAACUAAAAAUAAAAAAUAAAAUUCACGAUACUCCCCAAAAGCUGAUGAUAACAUGUAAGAAGCGACUUGAUUUUACCUUCUAACUCUCCCUCCCUUUUAGCACAAUGCUGCAAAAUGACUGGCUCAUAAACCACUAAGCUGCCUUGGCAGCCACUUGUUAUUGUUACCAGUAGGUAAUAUGCUGUUUUCUUCUGCUUGGCACAUAAGCAGUAGGCAUGAAAUAAUUGCUUAAUGGAUAAGUAAGUUGUUAAAUUAUAAAACUCUGAUGGAUUGCUUAGUCCUUUAACAAUUUACACCCCCCUCCCACUUAUCCAAUUCUUUUGUGACAGAUUUUGCACUAGCAAAGUGCACUGUUUCAGACAAUCAAGGAAAUAAAACAUUUCUUGAUGAAAUCCUACCUCGCCUCAACAGGAAACUGAAUUGGAGUCCUCAAUUCUCAGUACAUCAGAACUAGUGUGUGAAAGGAUCAGGAGAGGACCAUAGUAUUGGAGAAUAAAACAUUAUGUAUUGAUGGUUGAGCUUUAUGUCAUCGUGUAGUAAAUGCUAUGACCAUAAAGCCAUUACUGUUAACACUUAAGUUUAUCUUCUGAAAGAAGCCUAUGAAAUAUCUCCAGAAAGACUAGGGGAUUUUCUUCUGUUUGUUUGUUUGUUUGUUUGAGAUGGAGUUUGCUCUGUUGCUCAGGCUGGAGUACAGUGGUGCGAUCUCGGCUCACUGCAACCUCUGCCUCCCAGGUUCAAGUCAUUCUCCUGCCUCAGCCUCUGGAGUAGCCAGGACUACGCACUGCGCCACCACACCCAGCUAAUUUUGUAUUUUUGGUGCAGACAGGGUUUCCCCAUGUUGGCCAGGCUGGUCUUGAACUCCUGGCCUCAAGUGAUCCGCCCACCUCGGCCCAAAGUGCUGGCCACCGCGCCCAGUCAGACUUGUUUUUUAGUGAAAUAAAUUGUUUUCCUUUAGGACCUUAUUCUUUAUGAUAACAGAUUCCAAGAAUAUGCAGUCUUGUCAAUGGCUGUUUCAUCCUCAGUUUCUUUAAAAAUAAAAUACAAUUAGAACAUUUUUAGAUAUGCUAUAUCUAUCCAAUCUAUUUUCCUGUCACCCAGUAAGGUUUUCUAUCAUCAGCACAGGUCUAUGAAAGGACAGUAAAGGGUCUCCUGUUACAUACCCUAGCACUAAUGUUUGUAAUAGAAUGUUAAGAUAAGUUGUUUCAUGUAAUCGGACUACAUUCAGUCUUUCUCUACCCUCUGUCCUCUAUUUACCCACCUAUGCAUGUGGCCUACUAAUUAUAUUGACUGUACAUGACCAGCAAGUUGUAAGUUCUUUUAAAAGCAGGAGCUCAACCAUAUUUGUAUUCACAUUUCCUUCUGCUUAAAACAGGGCUCUUGUUUCUUCAGUAAAUAUUCAUUCGGUAUCCACUAGGUGUCAGAUAAUAUACAAGGUAGGUUCUAGGGAUUCCAAGAUAAAUAAACACAGAUAUGCCAAUAUGAGUCUGACAGUUUUGGCGGGGAGAGGUGGAAAAUAGAUCUGCAAGCCAAAAAAGCUACAGUAGAAUAAUAUAAAUAUUGUAAUGGCAAUAAAAUACCAGAACUAUUAAUUUUACAUUUAGUAAUCAUUCAGUAUCAAUUAAAUGGGUAAAAUGGAUAUGUUGGCAUGAAUGACAUAUAACUGAAAAAACACUAAGAACUGUAUAGAAACUGAAUUAGACAUAUGAGUAAUAUUAGUAGGAAGGGGAGAGAAUAUUUGAUUCCAGGUAGGCUACCAAGCAGGAUGUUUUUUCAGCACAGCCUUGGAAUAAAAUCUGUAACCUUUGAAAACAAUCACAUUUUUGUUCUUAUGCAAUCUUUGUUUUUAAAUGUAUUUAUUGUUUUGGCUCUAGUCCCUGAAUGUUAAAAUUUUAGUGUCAGUGUUAAUUCUCACUUAUCUUCUCCAGACCUUACUCCCUAAUUUUCUCAUUUUCAUUUGCCCCAAUAAGUGCCAACCUUACCUUGAAUAGAAUAGUGGAUUUAUCAGCUUACAAGGACUAAAAAGUCGUCAUUUCCAAAAACAUCUGUCCAAUAAGUCUGCCUCAGUGACUACAUUUCUAGCAUUACAAUGUCAUUCUUAGUACACUGAUUUGAUCUUUACAAAUUACAUAAAUGUAUAAAAUUGUCGCAUGUACCCUAAAUUAUAUACAUCUAUUAUGUAUGUAUCAAUAAAAAAAUAAUUUUCUGUGCUUUUUCUCCUGUUAAAAAGAAUUCUUUUCUUUUUGAGACAGGGCCUGGCUCUGUCACCCAGGCUGGAGUGCAGUGGUGCAAUCUUGGCUCACUGCAGCCCCUGCCUCCCAGGCUGAAGUGAUCCUCCCACCUCAGCCUCCUGAGUAGUUGGGACUACAGAUGGGUACCACCAUGCCUGGCUAAGUUUUUGUAGAGACAGGGUUUUGCCAUGUUGUCCAGGCUGGUCUCAAACUCCUGAGCUCCAGCAGUCUUCCUGGCUUGGCUUCCCAAAGCGCUGGGAUUACAGGUGUGAGCCACCACACCCAGCUGAUUCUUUAGAAGACCAGUAUUGCAUUGUGAUUGCCUCUGGGCAGGAAAACUAAGGGGCAUCAGUAGACUAUGCAAUUACUUUCUUCCUCUUUAAAAAAGUAUUGUUAAUUUUUAAAUUUACAUAUUUUGGUAUACAAUUCUAUGAGUUUUGACAAAUGCAAAGAAUCAUAUAACCACCGCCAUAAUUGAGAUACUAAACAAUUCUAUCACCUCAAAAAAAAUCCUCUUGAGCUGUCUCAUUUAUAAUUUUUGUGAUUAAAAAUGGUUAUUUUUCAAAAAGUAACGUUUGGGCCAGUGCGCCUGGAGUGCACCAGUAGUCCCAGCUACUAGGGAGGCUGAGGCAGGAGAAUUGCUUGAACCCGGGAGGUGGCGAUUGCAAUCAGCUGAGAUCACACCACUGCACUCCACCCUGUGAGUGGGCUACAGAGUGACACUCUGUCUAAAAACAAAAACAAAAAAACACUUUAAAUGUUUCAUAUAGUUAUUCCUUAUUCAAAAAGUAUGCCUUUUUGGGUUAAGACAGUGCCAUUUCAAAUAGCCUUGUAGAAAUAUAAGCAAGGAAAUGCUAAAUUAUACCAUUAUUGAUCAUUAGUACCUUAGCUUGUAGUUUAAACUGUUGAAGAGAAUUAGGACUCCACCUGGCAUUGUGGCAUAAGCCAGUAGUCCCAGCUACCCAGGAGGCUGAGGCCUGAGCUCAGGAGUUCAAGACUAGACUGAGCACAUAGCGAGAUCUUGUCUCAAAAAAUGAAAGAAAAAGAAUUAGGACUCAGAAAAGGUAAAGGGUGUGUGUGUUUGAUUAGAUAGAGGAUGGGAUUGAAGGCUUAAGGAGGAGAUUAGGGCCUGAGAUGGAACAAUGCGCAUGGAAGGAUAGAUAUGGGUAGUGUGUUCUGAGUAAUAUAAGAGACCUAGAUUCUCAAAGAUAGAGGGCACCAAAGAGAUGAGUCCUGUAGAGGGGUGACCUUCAUGUAAAAAAUGAUCUAUCUUAAUUGGGAGCUACAGACCUGGGAUUCUGUACUGAACUUAUACAGAAUAAGUAAUUUACUCUUCAAAAGUCGCUUCCCCAGCUGGGCGCAGUGGCUCAUGGCUGUAAUCCCAACACUUUGGAAGGCUGAGGCAGGUGGAUCACCUGAGGUGAAACCCCGUCUCUACUAAAAAUAAAAAAAAAGUAGCCAGGCAUGGUGGUGGGUGCCUGUAAUCCCGGCUACUCGGGAGGCUGAGGCAGGAGAAUUGCUCGAAACCAAGAGGCAGAGGUCGCAGUGAGCUGAGAUGGUGCCAUUGCACUCCAGCCUGGGCGACAAAUGCAAAAACUGCAUCUAAAGAAAAAAAAAAAAAGUCACUACGCCUUUCUGGGCCUCAAUUUCAUAAUCUGUAAAAUAGUAAGGUUGGACUGAGUAUAUACCAAGGUCCAUUUCAGAGUUCUCCAGCUAGAAGCAAAACCCUUGUGUGUAUGUGUUAGUUUUUUUCCCCUAAGGUUUUGUCCUCUAGUUUUAACUAGAGAGACACAUUUGGGAUAUUAAUAACCGAAUUCUAGCAAGCAUUAUGAUCUCUUCAGAUUUCAUGUAGUUUGAUGUCAGAAGCUGCAUAGCAAAGUUAAGCCUGAUCUGAAUUGGCUUCAAGUGGAUAGAGCUGUAUGACCCUCAGUCUUCUCAUGUAUAGAAUGACUUAUAUACUCUAAACUUCCUUGUAGUUUUCAUAUUUCAUGACUAUGAAACCUGUGAAAACUUACCAGUGUUUUUUCUAUUCAUACUUCCUUUGAGUCUGCAGCUGCUGUUCUUCUGAUUUGAUUUUUUUGUUGUUUAUUUUUAUUAGCCACUAUUCAUUCAGUACCUUUUAUAUGUCAAAACGUUUGAUAUUUAACCUACGUUAUUUAAGGGCUUUUGUACUGCUGCUGUACUUUAUAGGUGCAUAGAUAUGGUAAAAUCACACCAUGCCUCCUGCUCUGACUCUGGAUAACAUAUUCCUACAGCAGGAUCUCAUUUCAAUAAAAAUUAAAAGAAACACUAGAGAGAGGAAGAAGGGGAGAAGAUAAAUGUGGCUUUAAAUUGAUAAGUGAAAGGCAAGGAACUAACAUUUGAGGAUCUACUAUGUGUUAGACACUUUAUAACAUGGAUCUUCUUUAGAUCAUUGAGAUAAGCAGGUAGAAAGACAUCACAAAGGGAGUCUGCUUGUAUUGAUAGCAAGAAGAAAAAAAUGACUUCAUGCCAUAAAUCACUGGAAUUAUUCAGAAUUUUUGUUUUGCAUGUUAUCCUCCAUUAUGAGGACAAAGACAGCAUAAUGUCUCUAUGUAGUAAGUGUUUGGUGAAUGUUUAUUGAAUAAGUAGGGAUUUUUAUCAUGCAUAUAGUAGUGUUUCUUAAUGUUUUGGAUCCAUGGACUUAUAAAAAUUUUAUAAAAGCUAUGGCUACAUCCAGGAUGUUACCUCCCUCCCCUGCCACACACAAAAGGAAACAGCCAAGUCCCUCCCCUCACUCUAACCAUUCCCACAUCUAUAUUUGUGUAAAACCCAUGAUUUUAAACUGUUUGCAGCCCCUCUGUAAUCCAUUCACAUGACCCAAGAACUCAGCCCUGGAAACAUCUCUGGGUAUCCAGGUAGACUAAAAGCAUAGUUCCAUUAAUUUAUAGUGCUAUAUGGUUCUGCCAUGCUUUAUUGGUCCUUUAUAGACUUGAGAAAAUCACACCAUGCCUCUUGACCAUUAACAAAUGGUCAUGUUCAGUCUUCCUUUUUAUGAGUGGAAAUUCCAUCCAAUUUGCUUUUAGGUUCAUUAAUAUGUACUACAACCAAAAGAUCAGCAGCAUUAUAUACUUUAUCUUUUUUAGUCUUUUGAAGUACAAAUUAUGCGAUUUUACAGAUAAAUUAUCUCAUGGGUAGCAUAUGUCUGGCUUUCUAGGUGGAAUGAUUCCUAUUUCUUUUUGUACCUCUCCCCAUUCAGAACUCACUUUGAGGCCAAGCGUGGUUGCUCAGGCCUGUAAUCCCAGCACUUUGGGAGGCCGAGGCAGGUGGAUCACCUGGGGUCAGGAGUUGGAGACCAGCCUG